UUACUGGGCAGUUAUGGGUUUAGUCUCUCUCUCUCUUUCUCUCUCUCCUCUUGAGGUCGAUGUCAUACAUCAGCGUUCAUAGAUUCCCUGUGCUGCUGUGUGCGAUUCUCCUGAACAUCAGCAGUCUGUGCUGCUUUUAAGAUCAGCUAAUAGCAUCAACUAUCAGCUCACCUCAGCAACACGAGCAAUAUUAGGCUUAUUAGAGGAACGCUACCUGCUGACUUCAAAUUAUUUCUGUAUGUCAAAGGAUAUAUUCAUAUUUUUAUUGCUUUCUAGUCUUUUCUUUUUUUACUCUGCACCAUUAACGUUUGUUGAAUCCUAAAUAGGCUAUUUUUGUUUUGAAAACGCCUUUAGGCCAGCUAAAUUCAAAUAUUUUAAUCUUGAUCUUUUUUAAAAAAUCUAAAAUUAAGAUGCUAAAACUGGUGAGAUUUACAUACGGAUAUUUUUUGAUGCUAAAACGGAAUAAUAAAAGCCAAAAGUCUAUCAUGCGCCAGUGUAUUUAUGUAGUUCUCCUGACAAACAGAAGGGGGCGUCACUGUCAGGAUAAAUAAACCACUGACAAUGAAUAUACCACCUCAGAACGUAGUUGUGGGGUUUCCCUUCGUUUUCUCUCACGUCUUCUUAAAAAAACUGAAAGAUUUGAAAGCUUCAGAAGAUUAAAUAUGAUAAAUCAAGCUAAUUAAGACAUCUUUAGUAAUUAUAACAUAGUGUUUUCGACAAAAUUAGCUAUAGAAUGGUAGCUAAUAUUGCUAACCCAUGUACCAAUUCUUGUAAUCUUAGUAAUCAUACCAUUUUUGAUUCACUUUUUGAUUAAGUGAACCUUCAGGAAAGAUUUUCUGUACCUUUUGAAUAUAUUUUUGUAUUUAGGUCACACAGGAGCCCUCGGGCAGCAGUAAACCAUGUCCUCUACAGGAGUGAUUGACACCUUCUCUGAUGGCGAAUGAAGUCUCCAGCUUCUCUGGGCUUCAGCCACAAUAAUAAACCAGCGCUGCACACUGACGGAUGCAAUCAUCUUUUAUUUCCCAUUAAUGAAACAACACCUCAUUUUAUGGCCUACUGAACCGAACAGCAUGGAUUGUGAAUUAAAUUGAGAGGUCUUCAGCGGCAGCGAUGUUAACGUCCCGUGGCUGUUCUCCAGUGAUGAGUCCAGAUGGAGGCUAUGUUGGUACCUGCCCUCCCAUUUCCAUUGCCAGCUCACUCCCUCCUGCCUCCCGUACACCUCCUCACCAUCUGUGCCAACCUGCCGUCUCUCCGUCAGACAGUUGCAGGUUUCGCCAUGCGUGGCAGGCCUACAGCUGUGCAGACAGCCAGCCCAACAUCUGUGUGUCCUAUGGGAAAGACGGGGGAAUGUCCCGCUGAUCUACUCAGCUGCUGCUGGCCUUAAACACAGCCAUGGGCCGGCAGUUCUGCGGACAAGACGGGUUUUGCAAUCCCUGUUUUAUUGCAUUGCGCCUGAAGAGUCCUGCUGGGCGUGGAUCGGUGUGGAGAGCCAAUAGCAGGCCGGCAGGCGGGUGGCGGUCAGUGGCCAAUGAUCCAGGGUGGGGUUACUGUGUCAUAAUCAGAAUAAAGAAAAGGAGAUCAAAGAAGAUGCAUUUUACAGAUGAAAGUGGUUUUAUUCAGCGCUGCACUGGACGUGCUGCUUGAGAGGAUGAGAUCUGGAUGAAGACGCUGCUGCAUUGAGCCUUUAGACUCUGAGCAUUCAAUAUGUGUGAUCAAUACAUGGAUUCCCAACAGCAGAUAACAUCCAUUGUACCUGCAGAGGAACAUCCGGACAUCCGGUAAGAUUCUGUCAUUUAUUGUAAGCCACAUUCUAGAUGAAAUAAAGCGGCAUGUGAGAAGAGUCCGGGGAGAGCUGCAGGCAUGUGUGCUUUUGUAAGGGAUUCUCCAGCCCAACAGCUGAAACAGCUGCAAGAGCGGCAGCUCCGGUGCUGAUGCUCUGGCACAGAAAUGCUUGUUAGGGCAGAAUAUAGCCAGAGCUCCAGGGACCAUCCAGACACAGUGACUAUUCAUAACUGUAAUGGGUAUCAACCACGUCGACAAAAAAAAAAAAAAAAAAAAAAAAAGCCAGUGAAAGAAAGCAAGAGAUGUGCUGAAAAUACAAAUUUAUGGGAAACACUUAUUGUAUCAAAACUAAAAAAAAUCCUGUCCAAAAGCAUCAUUCUAAACCAUUGCAUACAAAUAAUAUCAUGUCAAGAGGUUUAUCAUUGUUGCUCUACUACAGAACAAGCGCAAAAUAGGAACUAGGGUACUAAAGAGCACGUUUUAAUGCAUAAAACAGUUUAUGAAACAAAACACAUGCAAAUAUUGUUCCAAACCCCUGAGAAUCCUGAAAUGUAAUAUUUUCUACUUUAUUCUAUAUAUUAUUUUUUUAUUCUAAAUGUUAUUUUAUUUAAAUGUAAUUUAUAUAGAAGUAUAGAAUGUAUAGCAUUUAUUUAUUUAUUUAUUUAUUUAUUUAUUUAUUUUUCUGUGAUUUCUGAAAAUAGAAACUAAUGUACUAAAGAACACAUUCUAAUGCAUAAACAGUUUACGAAACUAAAACACAUGCAAUCUACUGAAACUAACAUCAUCCCAAAUCCCUGAGAAUCCUGAAAGUGUUUCCUGGACUUUUUUUUCUACUUUAUUCUGUAAACAUGUACUUUAUUUUAUUUUAUUUUAUUUUAUUUAUAUAACAUCCUCCCACAUCCCUCCUGACCACUGCCUGUCCUGCUCAUAAUUAGCUGUUCUGUUUUAAUCCGUUCCCUGAGGUUCUCUCCCAUCCUCUAGGCUGGAGUCACUCCGAGAGAGCAAACCACAGGAGACGUGUCCAUGGGCAACGCCUAUCCGUAGACACAACAUCCUCGGCGUGCCUGGUGCACAUGACUCGCCCCCUGAGAAAGAACAGCGCCCUGAUAUCUGCUCUGUGAUAGCAGCCAACACGACUCCCCUCGGCUAAACCCGCCGUACGAACUGCGGCUGUCUCGCGUGGGCUGUGCAAACCGAGCGCCAACAUUGUUAUUGGCUACAAAAGCAAACGAAACCAUAGCUUUUUCGCAUCUUGUGACAAAAGCCUGCCUGGUUAGAGCGGAUGCUCUGUGAAUCAAUGGCUGCUUUAGACAAGCUUACACUGCACAACAUGCAUGUGGAAACUCAGUUAUGCUGCAGUGAAGCGGCUCAUGCAUGGAGAGAAUCAGAAUGAAUAUGUUGCCAUUUAAAGUAGAGCGCAUGUCUAGUCAUUUAUGUAUAAAAUAGAUAGAUAAAUGAUACUGAAACGUCUUAAGAAAUAAGACAAGAUAAAAAUGGCACCUAAAGGGAAUCCUGAGAAAAAAAAAUUCUCUAAUUCAGUAAAUGGUGCAGAGGUUGUGCUGGGCGGUGGGUGGGGGGAUAGAAAGAUCCGAGGGGAAUGUAAAGACUUGUGCAGCUCAUGUGAAGACAGCAGGCAGCCCUGGAAAAAAACACUACCGGAUACUGUGAGCGGGAACAAUACAGGCGCUUUAAAAAUCACAGGGCUAUUUGAGAAGAGAUUGGAGCGUCUCAGAUUCUUGGCUUUAUUUGCCACCGAAAUUUGUAUUUCAUGCCGCCUGUUGAGUUAAUCAUACCAGCACACUUUCUAGUAAGUUGCGUCUGUCGAGGGGAUUUCUGUAAAUGUAUCAGGAUAAACGAGCGUGCAGAGCUGGGGAAAAGCAGACUGGAGCUUUGGGUUAGUCGUGUCGCGGUGGCUGAGUCUAAUGAUGUGCUGUGGUUUUGGCAGUGACGAGUGACAGCUCCUGUAUUCUGCAGCAUGCAAAGAUCUGUGCUGAAUCUGAAAACCACAGGCAGAGCCUGUGCAGACAAGAAAAGGAGCAAAUUGUCUACAGAUCACACUCUUGAUAGAAGAUCAGUACUUAAAGAAAUAUACAAACGCUAUUGUAAUAUUAUAAUUUUACAACAAUCAACAAUGGUUGAUUAUAGUUUAGUGGACAUAUAAUUUUACCAUUCAGAAUGAAGUAUUUCAGAAAGCAGUUUCAUAAAUAAUAUGUGUGUGUGAAUUUAAAAACCAUUUACCUUGUUUGUGUGUGUAUAAAUACAUAUAUGAGCCAAAACAUUAUGACCACCUGCCUAAUAUGCUGUUGGUCCUCCAUGUGCUGCGAAAACAGCACCGACCCACCAAGGCAUGGACUCCACUAGACCCCUGAAGGUGUGCUGUGUUAUCUGGCAAUAAGUUGUUAGCAGCAGAUCCUUCAAGUCCUGUAGGUUUCGAGGUGGAGCCACCAUGGAUCGGACUUGUUUGUUCAGCACAUCCUACAGAUGCUCGAUUGAAUUGAGAUCAGGGGAAUUUUGAGCUUUGAACUCUUCAUCAUGUUCCUCAAACCAUUCCUGAACAUGUGUGCAGUGUGGCAGGGGGCAUUAUCCUGCUGAAUAAGGCCACUUGCACCAGGGAACACCAUUGUCAUGAAGGGGUGGACCUGGUCUGCAGCAGUGUUAGGUAGGUGGAAUGUGUCAAAUUUACGUCCACGUGAAUGGCCGGACCUAGAGUUUCCCAGCAGAACAUUGCCAAGAGCAUCACACUCCCUCCACCGGAUUGUCAUCGUCCCAUCCUGUGGUGCCAUCAUUUCCCCAAAUGGCGCGCACAUACACGGGACUCCUCGGACCAGUCGACCUACUUCCAGUGCUCCAAGGUCCAGUUCCGACACUCCACGUGCCCACUGUAGGCGCUUUCGGUGAUGGACAGGGGUCAUCAUAGGCACUCUGAGUGGUCUGUAGCUACGCAGCCCCAUUGUGACACAUUCCUCCCAUAACCAUCAUUAAAAAUUUUGUGCCACAGUAGACCUUCUGUUGGCUCAGACCAGAUGGGAUAACCUUCAUUGCCCUCAUGCAUUGAAGUUGCCGGUUUGCAGUUUGUCCCUCCUCUAAAAACUGUUGGUAAAUUCUCAUCAUUGCUGACUGGGAUCAACUCAAAAGCCUUGCUGUUUCAGAGAGACCCAGUCGUCUUGCCAUAACAAUUUGGUCCUUGUCAAAGUUGCUCAGAUCUUUAUUCCUGCCCAUUUCUCGUGCAUCCAACAUGUUGAUUACGAGAACUGAUUGUUUGCUUACCAACUAAUCUACCCAGAUCUUAAUAUGUGGUCUUGUUAGGAGAUGAUUUUUGUAAUAUACAUGAAAAUUAUAAUAUACGUGACAUUAAAAUGUGUAUAAAUCACUUGUGUUUUUUUAAAGUAACACUGUCCAGCUGCGACACCCGCAGGUAAAAUUACAGCGGGACGCUGCGUCUCUCGUGCCUCCCCUGAGCCUAUUGACUUUAAACAGACCCCCUAAAGUAUGCUGUGGGUUUAGUGGGGGGUAAUUGAGAAUGAAUGGGGGAAAGUCACGUGAGAGGAGGCAAUGCCUCAUCACGCUAUGCUUGGAUGUGAUUGGUUAUGAUUGGCUACGAUUGGUUCACGCAUCUUGUUUUUGUCCUUUGUUCCAUAUUGUUACUGCCAUUAGUUGUUAUUUUGGAAUAAAUGUGAAAAUGCUU